rnacentral:rRNA from 1 species
CGGCGGACGGGUGAGUAAUGCCUAGGAAUCUGCCUGGUAGUGGGGGACAACGUUUCGAAAGGAACGCUAAUACCGCAUACGUCCUACGGGAGAAAGCAGGGGACCUUCGGGCCUUGCGCUAUCAGAUGAGCCUAGGUCGGAUUAGCUAGUUGGUGAGGUAAUGGCUCACCAAGGCGACGAUCCGUAACUGGUCUGAGAGGAUGAUCAGUCACACUGGAACUGAGACACGGUCCAGACUCUUACGGGAGGCAGCAGGC